rnacentral:rRNA from 1 species
UACGACGGUAACAGGUCUUCGGACGCUGACGAGUGGCGAACGGGUGAGUAAUACAUCGGAACGUGCCCAGUCGUGGGGGAUAACUACUCGAAAGAGUAGCUAAUACCGCAUACGAUCUGAGGAUGAAAGCGGGGGACCUUCGGGCCUCGCGCGAUUGGAGCGGCCGAUGGCAGAUUAGGUAGUUGGUGGGAUAAAAGCUUACCAAGCCGACGAUCUGUAGCUGGUCUGAGAGGACGACCAGCCACACUGGGACUGAGACACGGCCCAGACUCCUACGGGAGGCAGCAGUGGGGAAUUUUGGACAAUGGGCGAAAGCCUGAUCCAGCAAUGCCGCGUGCAGGAUGAAGGCCUUCGGGUUGUAAACUGCUUUUGUACGGAACGAAAAAGCUUCUCCUAAUACGAGAGGCCCAUGACGGUACCGUAAGAAUAAGCACCGGCUAACUACGUGCCAGCAGCCGGGGGUAAUACA